rnacentral:rRNA from 1 species
AUGCAGUCGAGCGGGGUUUUCGGACCUAGCGGCGGACGGGUGAGUAAUGCGUAGGAAGCUACCCGAUAGAGGGGGAUACCAGUUGGAAACGACUGUUAAUACCGCAUAAUGUCUACGGACCAAAGUGUGGGACCUUCGGGCCACAUGCUAUCGGAUGCGCCUACGUGGGAUUAGCUAGUUGGUGGGGUAAUGGCUCACCAAGGCGACGAUCCCUAGCUGGUUUGAGAGGAUGAUCAGCCACACUGGAACUGAGACACGGUCCAGACUCCUACGGGAGGCAGCAGUGGGGAAUAUUGGACAAUGGGCGCAAGCCUGAUCCAGCCAUGCCGCGUGUGUGAAGAAGGCCUUCGGGUUGUAAAGCACUUUCAGCGAGGAGGAAGGGAGUUGUGUUAAUAGCACAGCUUCUUGACGUUACUCGCAGAAGAAGCACCGGCUAACUCUGUGCCAGCAGCCGCGGUAAUACAGAGGGUGCAAGCGUUAAUCGGAAUUACUGGGCGUAAAGCGCACGUAGGCGGUUUUUUAAGUCAGAUGUGAAAGCCCCGGGCUCAACCUGGGUAUUGCAUUUGAGACUGGAAAACUAGAGUGUGUGAGAGGGGGGUAGAAUUCCAAGUGUAGCGGUGAAAUGCGUAGAGAUUUGGAGGAAUACCAGUGGCGAAGGCGGCCCCCUGGCACAACACUGACGCUCA